rfam:Myotis lucifugus cont2.35281, whole genome shotgun sequence.
ACAUAGGCUUUUUUAAAAGCCUUAUUCAAUAUCAAGUAAAUUCAA